CAAGGCCGAUUUUAAUCGGCCUUGAAUCGAGGCUAGUCAAUAACAGUCUCCAAGUUGUUGACUGUAUCAGUUUCAGUGCUCAAGCUAGUAAGUAAUGUCUUCAUCUUGAUAAAUAUGCUAAUUUUAUAUUGUGUAUACUAUAAUUAUAUAGGCACUAGGCUACCAUGCAGGCUGGGGGGUCGCCCUUAUUGUAAUUAAUUGCAGUGGUUUUUACUGUCGUAAUCGUUGCUGUAAUAAUUGCUUGCAUAGCCAUGAGAAAAGGUGAGUAACUCAAUUUAACUUUUAACUGUGUGAUCGUAUAGAUGAUUGUGAUCUAGAUAAUGCGUCAGAUCCUACGCGAAGAUAUUACUAUCAUUUGGCAGUACCGAUCUAAGCGGAUGUCACAUGCCCAUUACUUAUCUCUGUCACGCUAGAGGCUGGGAGUCAUGUGACUGCAGUUAGGUUUUUGGGAAGUACUGAGAUUGCAUUAUCUCCUUCCUUAACUGAAAGCCGCAGAUUGGAAUUCCUGUUACAUCAGCUUCCUCAAAAGUUCCCUAGCUAUUUCAUUAGUAUAGGGUGUUUUUUGGGUAAUUCAAAAUCACUUAUGGAUAAAGAGACAAUACUUUUUGUUGAAAUCUGCUUAUGAGUUGUAAUUGAAUAAUUAUGUGUAAUACUAUAAUGACUGAAUAAUAAUUGCUAUCUUCAUAUUUUUGCAUUUCAUGUUACGACCAAAUUUAAUGUGUCAGGGCUAUAUAAGUUAUAUGCUCUCGCUCUGCGCUUUUUGGUGUUUCUUUCAGCCAAUCCUAGCAAUUUUAACUUAAUAGAGGGGUUGGUAGAUUAUGUUGGCAUAAUUUUGAGCAUAAUAAGCACAUACAAUUAUAACAAUUAUGAGAAUAACAGGCAGGCAGGUUUUGGAAAUACUUGCGGGUCGUUAAGUAUCUCCUUGGUGUUCUAGAUAGAGUCAUGUGGCUAUUAUUUAUAGUUUGAUGUUAAUAUGUGCAAGGACAUGGGGUCUAAUAGACCGGUCUAUGUUGUGCUUUGGAGGAAAAAUAAUUAUAGUCAAUGUGAAAAGAAUAAUAUAUAGGCUGUUAACUUGAGCAUAAAAGUAAUUAUCUCGAGCAUACUCGUAUACCGUUUAAUUUGUUGAUCUGCUGCGAAUUAAGACUGUACACGUCCAUUGCUGUUUCAUUGGACAUGAUCUAUAAAUUACAUCGAUCUAUACUCAGCAUAUGCAUGAAGUAUUAGUAAUGUUGGCAUAAUUAUUUUAGAGGCAACAAAUAACAAAGCCAUUCUUGCUAUACGGCCUAUAUAAAUAUAUAACCUUAAUAAUAAGUCCAAAUUCUAUCAACAUUCUUAAGCAAAAUCUACUGCCAUGACAAUGUUUUUUACUUCUCUCUUAGUAAUUUCUACUGUUCUUUUUGUUGAAGGUGAGUAGAUUUGUGCAGCCAGCUAGUUUAUUUACCGCACGUAUUAAAUGUGGUACAGCAGCAGAAGCAUACCUAAAUGUUAAAAGUGAGGCUUGCUCGGAGAGGGCUAGGGUGAAGCUGAUCUGUGAAGGAGUGGAUCUUGAAGGAUUACGUUGGCGUUACAGCAGCCCUAACUCUACCGAAUAUGUGAACAUCUUCAAAUUCCUCGUGGAUGCUUCUCCACAAACUUUUCCUAGCAACAUCACUAAUAAAAAAAAUCCUGCAUUCUUGAGCGUUCAAUUGGUCACUAUUUCUCGCUGUCCUGAGUCAUACAUGGCAAAUUGGUCAUCCAUACUAACGGUUGAUCUGUUGGCGCUAGAAAAGCAGAACAUUACUAGCAUAACAUGUGGCGAUAUCGUUACCUAUAUGAGGAUACUGGUAUCUGAUAUUAUAGUCUGGGAUCCUGUCAAUACGAUAAUUAUUGCCAUCUACCAGUUUGGUGUUUUGACUAGCGUAAAAGUACAACUAUAAUAAGGAAUUUAGUAAGUUUUAGUGUAAUAAAAUUUACAAAUUGCUAUGGAACCUCUUUAGCUGAUAUGCUCUUCAAUUCUCAUGUACACCGUGACAAUUAAUGGAUCAGAUGAGGUCAAAAUUAUGAAAACUUGUGUUGGUCUGUUCUGCGAAGCCAGAUUUUCCUCCAUAAGAACCAUUAUGGGAGAGCACAACAUUGAACUGAGUUUGUUUACUACUAGAUCGUCUAGGAUUAAUACAAAAAUGUACGCAUCUGUAUACGUAAUAGGUGAGACAUGAAUAUAUUACAUCGUGCUUUCUUAUAGUGCAGUUAUUAAUUCUAUAGGACUCAAAAGUGAAGAUUACUUUCGUACUCAAGUUAAUUCAACUAACUGUCUCUAUUCAGUCAGUUGUGCAGUCAUUCAAAACGACUCUACUUGUACUAUACAACACACAACACUGAGUAAUCAGCCUCCUAUUAAUAGCACGGGAAUGUUGAAAAUUCCACAUUCAAGUCCUGGUACAGGCCACACAUUUGCGUUUUCAGUGAAGGCAAACAAAAAUUUACUUAUCAAACAAAAUAUGUCUGUUACAGGUUAGGUUCAAGUUUUCAGUCAAUAAUGCCUCUAUAUAACUAUAGUGUUGUAAAUAGAUGGAAUCCCUGUUGAGUUUAAAUCAACUGCCAUUCUUAGCACAACUUCACUGUACCUUUUCUUGAUGGUCAUUCAUUUCUUAUUACUACUUAUAGGAGGUGAGUUACCAUUAACUAAAAAUAAUAGCUUUGAAAAUUGGAAAUGUAGCUUUUUGUAAGGUGAAGGUAUUUGUCUCUAGAAAGAAAUCUCUUGUUGUUUCUAUGGUGAUCCUACUCGUACUGCUUUUCAUUUGCAUUUCUUCACUAUUUGUCUUUGGGAUCAUUUUCUAUGGUAAACAAUGUUCAUUAAGUACUAGUAAAGUUAUUCUUAAAAAUUCCCCAUAGGUACACAAUGCAGUCCAGUUAGGAUGACACUUCACGACAGUAUGCUUGAUACAAUGUUAGUCAUUUCAUGUUUGGGAAUAACAAUUUUGAUUACUAUUUGGAGCUUUAUUGGACACGGAGUGUACAACCAUCGUAAAUUCACAUUGCGAUUUGAAAACAAAGAUACUUGCAUAGUUACAACACCUAGCAGAAAAAGUUCACCCUCCACACUUCCCAAACAAAGUAAAUCAGGUCAGCAUUCCAACAGUGUUUUGUACGAUGAGGUUGAUCUAGCAAAAGUCAAAGGCAAUGUCUCGGAUAUGAUAGAAGUUGAGUUGAAAGCUAACAAGUCUUACGGGCACACAGACAAGAGUAUUACGACUGCUUGCUCAACAUAUGCUACUCCAGAAUGCAACAGCCAAAAAGAUUUAUCAUUGAGUCACCAGUACAGCAAAAUCAAAGUGAAACCGAAAGCAAAGAGAAAGAGUGAGCAUCCUGAGCUAAUAAAUAUUGAGCAGAAGCAGAUAUUGCUGAAGUCUAACCAGUCGUAUGGUCAGCUAACAGGUGUUGUGGGUCAGAUAGGGGGAUGUGAACUACUACACGAGUACGACUACGUGGAUCCUUUAAGUCAGUAGAUCAUUACAAGACAAUUCCCAAUAAUUGUAGGUACUAACAUUGUAAUGUGUUAUUCAGUAUUGCAAAUUUAUACAUGCAUUGCAUGCUUUCUGGUUUCAUUUUUUAUCAAUAUACAAAGCAA